rnacentral:rRNA from 1 species
CACGUAGGGGGCGAGCGUUGUCCGGAUUUAUUGGGCGUAAAGAGCUCGUAGGCGGCUCAGUAAGUCGGGUGUGAAAACUCAGGGCUUAACCCUGAGCUUGCAGUGGGUACGGGCAGACUAGAGUGCGGUAGGGGAGACUGGAAUUCCUGGUGUAGCGGUGAAAUGCGCAGAUAUCAGGAGGAACACCGGUGGCGAAGGCGGGUCUCUGGGCCGUAACUGACGCUGAGGAGCGAAAGCAUGGGGAGCGAACAGG